UACGGAGGGAGCUAGCGUUGUUCGGAAUUACUGGGCGUAAAGCGCGCGUAGGCGGCUUUGUAAGUUAGAGGUGAAAGCCCGGGGCUCAACCCCGGAAUUGCCUUUAAGACUGCAUCGCUUGAAUCCGGGAGAGGUGAGUGGAAUUCCGAGUGUAGAGGUGAAAUUCGUAGAUAUUCGGAAGAACACCAGUGGCGAAGGCAGCGAAUUGGCUCUAUAUUGACGCUCAGGCACGAAAGCAUGGGGAUCAAACAGG
rnacentral:rRNA from 1 species